UCUGCCUGCAUGUCACCAUGCUUCACUCUGCUGAUAGGUUGAAGCUCAAGAACGAAAUGAUGGCCCAAGAUCACUGGGAAUGGACUGGACUCAUCACUCAGGGUCACAGCGCACUGGGAUUAGGACUACCUUUCCAGUGCCAGUGGCUCCCACAUUUCAAAUGACUCACCCUUCUGGCUUUGAAACAUUAGAAUACAAAGGGAAGAAGUGGUGCAGCAUUUAAAGACAGCUUCCCCUUCAUCUGACUUCAAAGGGCAACACUUCUGUGAGUGAGACCAUUUCCCAGUGCAAAACAUGCAGUACAUUUCAAGGCAUGUUGGGGAGGCUCUAGCCUAAGCUUUCAAUGUUUCUGUGUCUGCCUCAGAAACGAAACUCA